CCAGACUCCUACGGGAGGCAGCAGUGAGGAAUAUUGGUCAAUGGCCGGAAGGCUGAACCAGCCAUGCCGCGUGAAGGUCAGUGCCCUAUGGGCGUUAAACUUCUUUUGUGCGGGAGCAAUAAUGGUCACGUGUGGCCAGACGAGAGUACCGUACGAAUAAGCAUCGGCUAACUCCGUGCCAGCAGCCGCGGUAAUACGGGGGAUGCAAGCGUUAUCCGGAUUUAUUGGGUUUAAAGGGUGCGUAGGCUGUGAGGUAAGUCAGCGGUGAAAUGCCCCCGCUCAACGGGGUGAAGUGCCAUUGAUACUGCCUUGCUGGAAUGCGGAUGCCGUGGGAGGAAUGUGUGGUGUAGCGGUGAAAUGCAUAGAUAUCACACAGAACACCGAUUGCGAAGGCAUCUCACGAAUCCGCGAUUGACGCUGAUGCACGAAAGCGUGGGUAUCAAACAGGAUUAGAUACCCGAGUA
rnacentral:rRNA from 1 species